rnacentral:rRNA from 1 species
UAUCUCUGUAGAGUCUGCAUAUCAAUAAGCGGAGGAAAAGAAACUAACAAGGAUUCCCUCAGUAACGGCGAGUGAAGCGGGAAGAGCUCAAAUUUGAAAUCUUCAAGGUUCUGACCUUGACGAAUUGUAGUUUAAAGAAGUGUUUUCGGUUAGAGGAGUAGUAAAAGUUCUUUGGAAUAGGACAUCAUAGAGGGUGAGAAUCCCGUAUUUGACUAUUCUUUCUAGCUUUGUGAUACACUUUCAAAGAGUCGGAUUGUUUGGGAAUGCAGUCCAAAAUGGGUGGUAAAAUUUCAUCUAAAGCUAAAUAUUGGCGAGAGACCGAUAGCGAACAAGUACCGUGAGGGAAAGAUGAAAAGAACUUUGAAAAGAGAGUUAAACAGUACGUGAAAUUGUCAAAAGGGAAGCGUUUGACACCAGUGUUGUUUUUCCGAAAAUCAAUUAAAAAUUGAUUCAUGCCAGGUUGUAUUGACCUUAUCAGCUUGCAAUUUGGUUUUGGGUCUCUUUUUGAUGCACUUUUCGGUUAACAAGUCAACAUCAAUUUCCUUUGCUGUAAAAAGGUAAGAGGAAGGUGGCUUCAAUUUCGGUUGAAGUGUUUAUAGCCUUUUAUCUCUGCAGUCGGGGAGAUUGAGGUCUGCAGCGUAGAUCCUUCGGGGCUAGAUACAUUUAUGCUAAGUUAUAGCUUUUCAUAGACAACUUGUUGACUAUGUUUAGUCAUGUAGCUUACUCGUAAGUGCUAUUUUACCUACGCUUAGGAUGUUGAGCGCAUGUCUCUCUCU